rnacentral:rRNA from 1 species
GGGCCCGCACAAGCGGUGGAGUAUGUGGUUUAAUUCGAUGCAACGCGAAGAACCUUACCAGGGUUUGACAUCCUGCGAAUCUCUUGGAAACAGGAGAGUGCCUUCGGGAACGCAGUGACAGGUGGUGCAUGGCUGUCGUCAGCUCGUGUCGUGAGAUGUUGGGUUAAGUCCCGCAACGAGCGCAACCCACGUCUUUAGUUGCCAUCAUUAAGUUGGGCACUCUGAAAGAACUGCCAGUGAUAAGCUGGAGGAAGGUGGGGAUGACGUCAAGUCCUCAUGGCCCUUACGUGUUGGGCUACACACGUGCUACAAUGGUAGUGACAAUGGGUUAAUCCCCAAAAACUAUCUCAGUUCGGAUUGUCGUCUGCAACUCGACGGCAUGAAGUCGGAAUCGCUAGUAAUCG